UCCGGAGCUCGCGGUCGAAAAGAAAUGAGAGUUUCUCAACAAGCCUCGCAGUUAUGAGCUUCGGAGAGCUUCUUUGGCUUCGAGGCUCGAAUAUCGAAGAUAUCGCGAAAAUAUCGAAGAAGGAAUUAUUCGUCGCGUGCACGCUGCGCGAGUACUUUUUUUUCCCCCCAAUUUUUCACAGGAUCGCUCAAAUAAAUAAUAAACAAUAAUAAUAAUAAUAAUAAUUGGAGAAAAUCUUGAGAACAAACGAUGGGUUCGGCGAAGAGUGGAAAAAAUGUUGGGGCAAGAAUUUUCGGGGUAUUCGCGAGAACGUCGAUUUAGUCUGCGGUCGAAUGUCAAGCCGGUCGCUCUUUAGAGACAUGGAAGCAUUGAAAGGUCUGCGAGAGAGGGAUCCGUGGAAUAAUACUACACCCGCCGGGGGUUGCAUCGUGCAGCAGCAGCAGCAGCAGCAGCAGCAGCAGCAGCAAACACACGCGGGUGUGCGACCAAUCACGGGGUUCGAGAGACAUGGCUCGGAGAGUUGCGUGCCAGCACGUCGCGCCCGGCCAGCCGGCCGGCCGAGGGACGAAGGAGGAGUUGAGCAAAAGAGAGAAAGAGAGAGGUAAAAAAAUAAAUUGAGGAAAAAAUAAGACAGCGGUGGAGAGGGAGGAGGCUUCGAGGGCCGAAAGAACGAGGUGAAGGAAGAAGAAAAAAGAGGGACAAAACGAGACGAAACUGAAGCCAUCGGCGGGAGAGAGUGCACAAAGAGACGCGGUUGGCCCGUGUAUUUUUGCACUCUCGCUCUCUGGCUUUGACCGCAGACUGUGAGUUUGCUCUCAUGCGAGUCACCGACGGAGAAGGCGAGACUCUACGAGACCGUUGAGCGAAGAAGGAAAAGGCUUGCUCGCGAAUAUUCAAUCACUGUUACAAACACCCGCGCGUGACGGUAGAUUUAUCAAGCAGGAACGUACGAAAAAAUCAAAGAUGGCCAACGAGAAAAGGUCUUUUUUUUUCCCCUCUGGUUGAUCGCCAUACGGAGAGAGGAUCGUUGAAAAAAAUAUUUCGGGAAUGAAAAGAUGAUUUUGAAACUUGGGGGAUUUGAAGGGCGAACGUGAGAUCGUGCAAGGUCAAAAAGCCGGCAAAUACAAAUGAAAAUUGUAAUAAUAAACUAUGGUAGGAACUCGGUUGAAAUUGCAUAAUCGAAUGAAUGGAUAAUGCGAAAGGCGAGAGCCACCAAAAAGUCAACGACUUUGAGGUGAUAACGUCCGAGGAGCCCGAUGCGAAUAAGAGUGAAGGAGAGAAAAAGGUCGUCGACUCGAUUUAUAAGUUGCAGCGAGGAGAGAAAUUUGCGAGCGAUAAGGAAAGAGAGGCCAGCAGCGAGGGUAAGGGGGGGGGGGGGGGGGGGGGAGGGCAAGAGAAUUUGAGAACCACUGAUCGAGCGUCGCCCGCAGUAGCCUGAUUGCCGAACAAUGCGCGUCCUAACGAGACGCGGGGUCGAAGACUGUCCUUUUAUUGAUUUCACGGGGCGCGGCGGGGGUUACGAAGAGGCUUCGACGUCGCGACGCCUCCCACUCGACCCACCGGAUCUCCUCCUCCUCCUCCUCCUCCCCCACCUCCCGCCCAGAGGACCGCGUAUCAUUCAUAUCCGGAAAAAAGCCAAUUUUCACAUGUUCCCCAUCCCCCCUUUGUGUAUGCUCACACGUAUUCAACUCGCGCGUAUAUCCGUGAGAAAAAUAAUUACGAAGGAGGAAGAGGCGGCAGGCGGCGGAGCGGUGAAAAAGAAGAAACUGUGAGCGCACGAGUACAAUUUCGAGUGGAUUGAAAAAAAGAAAAAAACAGUCAACUGAAACUGGCCUACCUUGUGCGCCUUUAACGAAGCCUCGUUGCAGGCCAGGGUGACGUCGACGAAGGCCUCCGUUUGUAGCAGUUGAUGAAAAACCGACGUCAUAUUUGACUGGUAGUUGUUCCAGCGCAGGCAGUAAUGCUGCCCGGCCAUUCCUCCGCUGGAAAAAUAAAAAUCCGGGAUACACAAAGGUGCGCGAAUGCGGGCUCAAAUGGAAAAAAUUAAUGUUGGAGCGCUCCUCUCCUCCGUGUACGUACCCGAGAGCGUACUUUCGCGUCGAGAGAUCGUUCUGCGCACCGAGCUCAAGUUUUCUCGUUCCAUCAACAUGCACGAGAAUCAACGAAAAACAAUGACGAAAGGAAUGAAAAUAAGGGCUGCUGAAUCAGUUUCCAAUCGCGCGACAAGGUCACUGACUCUUCCUCAUCAAAGAGAGGACCGGAAGGAGCACCGCGACUCCGCCGAACGAGGAUUCCACCGUUUGAGAAAAGCCUCGCUCGCGCCAACUGCAUUUACCAAGUUAUAGAUCAUCGCAGGAGCAAAGUACACGCUCCGAGAUGCGAGAGAGCGAGAGAAAGACCG
rnacentral:lncRNA from 1 species